rnacentral:tRNA from 4 species
GGCCCCAUCGACUAGUGGUUAGGUCACCGCCCUUUCAAGGCGGCGGCGGGGGUUCGAAUCCCCCUGGGGUCACCA